CCCGUGGGGAAGGGGGGUUUUUGGGCUUCUUUCUUAAGGUGGAGGAAGGAAGGGGGGGGUAGCAAACAGGGAUUUGUUACCCUGGUAGUUCCCGCUGUUAAACGAUGAAUUGAUAGGGUGUCGGGAGUGGAAUUUUGGUGCCGCAGUUAACACAUUAAACAUUCCGCCUGGGGAGUACGUGCGCAAGCGUGAAAAUCAAAAGGAAUUGACGGGGGCCCGCACAAGCAGCGGAGCAUGUGGUUUAAUUUGAAGCAACGCGAAGAACCUUACCUGGGCUUGACAUAUACGUGAAUAUGUUAGAGAUAACAUAGUCUCUUUGGAGACGCGUAUACAGGUGGUGCAUGGUUGUCGUCAGCUCGUGUCGUGAGAUGUUGGGUUAAGUCCCGCAACGAGCGCAACCCUCGUCUUUAGUUACCAUCAAGUAAUGUUGGGGACUCUAAAGAGACUGCCGGUGAUAAACCGGAGGAAGGUGAGGAUGACGUCAAAUCAUCAUGCCCUAUAUGUCCAGGGCUACACACGUGCUACAAUGGUCUUUACAAAGUGAAGCAAGAUAGCGAUAUUAAGCGAAUCACAUAAAACAGAUCUCAGUUCGGAUUGCAGGCUGCAACUCGCCCCCAUGAAGUCGGAGUUGCUAGUAAUCGUGGAUCAGAAUGCCACGGUGAAUGCGUUCCCGGGUCUUGUACACACCGCCCGUCA
rnacentral:rRNA from 1 species